UUGAACGCUGGCGGCAGGCCUAACACAUGCAAGUCGAGCGGUAGCACAGAGAGCUUGCUCUCGGGUGACGAGCGGCGGACGGGUGAGUAAUGUCUGGGAAACUGCCUGAUGGAGGGGGAUAACUACUGGAAACGGUAGCUAAUACCGCAUAACGUCGCAAGACCAAAGUGGGGGACCUUCGGGCCUCAUGCCAUCAGAUGUGCCCAGAUGGGAUUAGCUAGUAGGUGGGGUAACGGCUCACCUAGGCGACGAUCCCUAGCUGGUCUGAGAGGAUGACCAGCCACACUGGAACUGAGACACGGUCCAGACUCCUACGGGAGGCAGCAGUGGGGAAUAUUGCACAAUGGGCGCAAGCCUGAUGCAGCCAUGCCGCGUGUGUGAAGAAGGCCUUCGGGUUGUAAAGCACUUUCAGCGGGGAGGAAGGCGAUAAGGUUAAUAACCUUGUCGAUUGACGUUACCCGCAGAAGAAGCACCGGCUAACUCCGUGCCAGCAGCCGCGGUAAUACGGAGGGUGCAAGCGUUAAUCGGAAUUACUGGGCGUAAAGCGCACGCAGGCGGUCUGUCAAGUCGGAUGUGAAAUCCCCGGGCUCAACCUGGGAACUGCAUUCGAAACUGGCAGGCUAGAGUCUUGUAGAGGGGGGUAGAAUUCCAGGUGUAGCGGUGAAAUGCGUAGAGAUCUGGAGGAAUACCGGUGGCGAAGGCGGCCCCCUGGACAAAGACUGACGCUCAGGUGCGAAAGCGUGGGGAGCAAACAGGAUUAGAUACCCUGGUAGUCCACGCCGUAAACGAUGUCGAUUUGGAGGUUGUGCCCUUGAGGCGUGGCUUCCGGAGCUAACGCGUUAAAUCGACCGCCUGGGGAGUACGGCCGCAAGGUUAAAACUCAAAUGAAUUGACGGGGGCCCGCACAAGCGGUGGAGCAUGUGGUUUAAUUCGAUGCAACGCGAAGAACCUUACCUGGUCUUGACAUCCACAGAACUUUCCAGAGAUGGAUUGGUGCCUUCGGGAACUGUGAGACAGGUGCUGCAUGGCUGUCGUCAGCUCGUGUUGUGAAAUGUUGGGUUAAGUCCCGCAACGAGCGCAACCCUUAUCCUUUGUUGCCAGCGGUUAGGCCGGGAACUCAAAGGAGACUGCCAGUGAUAAACUGGAGGAAGGUGGGGAUGACGUCAAGUCAUCAUGGCCCUUACGACCAGGGCUACACACGUGCUACAAUGGCAUAUACAAAGAGAAGCGACCUCGCGAGAGCAAGCGGACCUCAUAAAGUGCGUCGUAGUCCGGAUUGGAGUCUGCAACUCGACUCCAUGAAGUCGGAAUCGCUAGUAAUCGUGGAUCAGAAUGCCACGGUGAAUACGUUCCCGGGCCUUGUACACACCGCCCGUCACACCAUGGGAGUGGGUUGCAAAAGAAGUAGGUAGCUUAACCUUCGGGAGGGCGCUUACCACUUUGUGAUUCAUGACUGGGGUG
rnacentral:rRNA from 1 species